rnacentral:rRNA from 1 species
CAAACGGGUGAGUAACACGUGGACAACCUGCCCUCAAGUGGGGGAUAACGCUGCGAAAGCAGUGCUAAUACCGCAUAAGCUCGCGAGAGUAAAGCUUCGGCGCUUGAGGAGGGGUCCGCGUCUGAUUAGCUAGAUGGUGGGGUAACGGCCUACCAUGGCGAUGAUCAGUAGCCGGCCUGAGAGGGCUGACGGCCACACUGGGACUGAGACACGGCCCAG